AUUUUUUUAAUAUAAAAAGUAUAAUUGACUUCCAAUCAAUAAGUCUGAUUUCCAGAGAAAAUA
rnacentral:tRNA from 1 species